UUAAAGCCAUAACUGAUGUGGAAACCGUUAUCUAUAUAGUAAUCCAGGUUAUAACGGAAAUUAUCGCCCAGC
rnacentral:misc_RNA from 1 species